rnacentral:piRNA from 1 species
UGUCGGAUCCCGCACCUUUCUAAGCCUGUGU